rnacentral:misc_RNA from 1 species
GAUGAAGAACGUCGCGAAAUGCGAUAAGUAAUGUGAAUUGCAGAAUUCAGUGAAUCAUCGAAUCUUUGAACGCACAUUGCGCCCGCCAGUAUUCUGGCGGGCAUGCCUGUUCGAGCGUCAUUACAACCCUCAGGCCCCCGGGCCUGGCGUUGGGGAUCGGCGGAGCCCCCCGUGGGCACACGCCGUCCCCCAAAUGCAGUGGCGGUCCCGCCGCAGCUUCCAUCGCGUAGUAGCUAACACCUCGCGACUGGAGAGCGGCGCGGCCACGCCGUAAAACACCCAACUCUUCUGAAGUUGACCUCGAAUCAGGUAGGAAUACCCGCUGAACUUAAGCAUAUCAAUAAGCGGAGGA